rnacentral:rRNA from 1 species
UACGAAGGGGGCUAGCGUUGUUCGGAAUUACUGGGCGUAAAGCGCACGUAGGCGGUUAUUUAAGUCAGGGGUGAAAUCCCAGAGCUCAACUCUGGAACUGCAUUUGAUACUGGCUAUCUUGAGUAUGGAAGAGGUAAGUGGAAUUGCGAGUGUAGAGGUGAAAUUCGUAGAUAUUCGCAAGAACACCAGUGGCGAAGGCGGCUCACUGGUCCGGUACUGACGCUGAGGCGCGAAAGCGUGGGGAGCAAACAGG